UAGGCUUCUGAUCUUAGCUUUCAAAUGAUUAUUUUCCCCCAUAAGUAAAUGGUUUGACUCAUAGAAUCAUAAGCUAAUAAUGAUAAUAAUAACUUACAUCUUGUUUACAAAGUAUUUUAAGAAUUGUCAUUAUCUCCUUUGAAAUUCAUACUAACCCUAUGAAGUAGAUAAUACAAGUCAGGAAUGUUACAAAUCAUGUUCUUCAAAAAUAUUUUGUUACAAGUUAAGUCAGAAAAGACAAAGUGGCUUUUUCAAGGUUAUAUAAUAAGUUAAUGAAAUGAGAAUAAAAUGUCUUAAUUCUUAAGCCUACUAUUCUUCCUAGUGCACCAUAACUCACAGCUUACUCAAAUAAAAAAGAUUAGAGAAGAAAUAUUUUCUAUAUAAAGGAUUCUAAAUGCUUAUAGUUACCUGGACCUCAUAUCUUGUGUUGAUGAUACAACAGAUAAAACAUUGGCCAUAGAGACAAAAGAUUUAGGUUUAGAUUCUGCUCCUUGACAUUUACUGACUAUUUAAAUCUUAGGCCCAUCACAAAAUAAGUCUUACCCUCAAUACACUCACCUGUAAAAUCAGGAAGUUAUAUUAAAUGGCUUCUUGGGUUCCUAAAUGUAUAUUAUUAUAAAAAUUUGGAGCUUUCAAAAUACUAAGUUAAUUUUUGUUAACUAAGUUGUUAAUUAGAAAACUGAUCAACAUAUUGAUGAUAUUCCAAAUUAAACUUUUUUGUAAGGUAUUCCAUAUAGGUAGAUAUUAGAAGAACUAUCCUCCCUCCAUUUUAAGUGUUUAUAGUAAUUAAAUUAUUGAGAGUUAUUGAGAAAGAAAUUUAAUAUGAAAGUGGACUCAUUAGCGCAUAGGCAAAACUUUUAGAAAACCUGAAAAUUAUUUUGUUUUUUUUUUUUCUGUUCAAACAAUAUUCCAUGAGCUUUACCAUAAAAAAGAACAGAAGAGGAAAAAAAAAGAAACUUUAUUCACAAAUCCUUGCUACUGCCUGUUACCAUGGGAAAACAAAAUCUGGUGAUGUUUAAUGACUCUACUUUGAUUACACAGUUGGUAAGUGUCUGAGGCAUCCAAAAAUUUUAACAUUCUCUUCCUUAUUCGGAAUCCAAGGAUUUUUUUUUUCUAUUAUAUUGCACUGCAUUUUGUCUGUACAGGCAAUCAAAAUUUUAAAAAGUUAAUUGAACUUUUAGAUAGGGAAAAUAUGUCAAGAAAAUAGAUGGAUUUUUUGAAACAACAUGCAGAAAUCAACAUUCUAGGUGCUAUUGGGGAAAAAAUAAGUGAGAAGAAAAAAAAAUAAAACUUAAUUGCAGGAGCUACUUUCAAACUGAUCCCUAAAAAAUCAUCUUUUAAAUAGACUAGUGUCUUAAACAGACACAAUAAUUUGCCAUUUAUUUUUUUUUCCAUUUCCAUCUUCUUCAUUAUUAUUUUCUAAUGCUCACAGAUGUCUCAAUAUGGGGUUCAUUAUAGAAGACCCAAGGCACAUUGGUUUUGAAUUUUGGCCUUCUCACUUUUUGUCAAAUGAACACAUUUUAAAAGACCAAAUCAAAAUAAUCAGAAUGAAAAUCCAAUAAUAUUUUU